rnacentral:lncRNA from 1 species
ACUCUUAAUUUUUCAUUACCACUCUAUUUUCUUCCAUUUACUGUUUAUUUUUCUUCCAUUCACUAUUUAUGCAACCCUGGUUCACACCAAUGACACCAUUGGUGCUCAAGAUCCCACCCAACAUUUUGAAUGAACACACAUUUUUUAGAUGCAUUUCAAUGACUUAUAAUAUUCUUUAUAUUUUUCACCUCUUUCACAUC